rnacentral:rRNA from 1 species
AGUGAACGCUGGCGGCGUGCUUAACACAUGCAAGUCGAACGAGAACGGGAUAAGGCUUGCCUUAUUUGUCAGCUAAGUGGCGCACGGGUGAGUAAUGUAUAGGUAAUGUGCCCUAGAGAGGGGGAUAAUUGAUGGAAACGUCUUGUAACACCCCAUAUGCCUUUAAGUCAAAAGACUGCAAGGGAAAUAUUUAUAGCUCUAGGAUCAGCCUGUAUGGUAUCAGUUUGUUGGUGGGGUAAUGGCCUACCAAGACUAUGACACCUAACUGGUUUGAGAGGAUGAUCAGUCACACUGGAACUGAGACACGGUCCAGACUCCUACGGGAGGCAGCAGUGGGGAAUAUUGCACAAUGGACGAAAGUCUGAUGCAGCAACGCCGCGUGGAGGAUGACACAUUUCGGUGCGUAAACUCCUUUUAUAUAAGAAGAUAAUGACGGUAUUAUAUGAAUAAGCACCGGCUAACUCCGU